rnacentral:rRNA from 1 species
GACGAAGGGGGCUAGCGUUGUUCGGAAUUACUGGGCGUAAAGCGAGUGUAGGCGGUUGCCAAAGUCAGGUGUGAAAGCCUUGAGCUCAUCUCAAGAAAUGCACUUGAUACUUGGUGACUAGAGUACCGGAGAGGAUAGUGGAAUUCCCAGUGUAGUGGUGAAAUACGUAGAGAUUGGGAAGAACACCAGUGGCGAAGGCGGCUAUCUGGACGGUUACUGACGCUAAGACUCGAAAGCGUGGGGAGCAAACAGG